GGGGCUGAUUCUGGAUUCGACGGGAUUUGCGAAACCCAAGGUGCAUGCCGAGGGGCGGUUGGCCUCGUAAAAAGCCGCAAAAAAAUAGUCGCAAACGACGAAAACUACGCUUUAGCAGCUUAAUAACCUGCUUAGAGCCCUCUCUCCCUAGCCUCCGCUCUUAGGACGGGGAUCAAGAGAGGUCAAACCCAAAAGAGAUCGCGCGGAUGCCCUGCCUGGGGUUGAAGCGUUAAAACGAAUCAGGCUAGUCUGGUAGUGGCGUGUCCGUCCGCAGGUGCCAGGCGAAUGUAAAGACUGGCUAAGCAUGUAGUACCGAGGAUGUAGGAAUUUCGGACGCGGGUUCAACUCCCGCCAGCUCCACCA
rnacentral:tmRNA from 1 species